GAACGAACGCUGGCGGCAGGCUUAACACAUGCAAGUCGAACGCCCCGCAAGGGGAGUGGCAGACGGGUGAGUAACGCGUGGGAACAUACCCUUUUCUACGGAAUAGCUCUGGGAAACUGGAAUUAAUACCGUAUACGCCCUACGGGGGAAAGAUUUAUCGGGGAAGGAUUGGCCCGCGUUGGAUUAGCUAGUUGGUGGGGUAAAGGCCUACCAAGGCGACGAUCCAUAGCUGGUCUGAGAGGAUGAUCAGCCACAUUGGGACUGAGACACGGCCCAAACUCCUACGGGAGGCAGCAGUGGGGAAUAUUGGACAAUGGGCGCAAGCCUGAUCCAGCCAUGCCGCGUGAGUGAUGAAGGCCUUAGGGUUGUAAAGCUCUUUCACCGAUGAAGAUAAUGACGGUAGUCGGAGAAGAAGCCCCGGCUAACUUCGUG
rnacentral:rRNA from 1 species